GACGAACGCUGGCGGCGUGCUUAACACAUGCAAGUCGAACGGAAAGGCCCUGCUUUUGUGGGGUGCUCGAGUGGCGAACGGGUGAGUAACACGUGAGUAACCUGCCCUUGAUUUUGGGAUAACUUCAGGAAACUGGGGCUAAUACCGGAUAGGAGCUCCUGCUGCAUGGUGGGGGUUGGAAAGUUUCGGCGGUUGGGGAUGGACUCGCGGGUUAUCAGCUUGUUGGUGGGGUAGUGGCUUACCAAGGCUUUGACGGGUAGCCGGCCUGAGAGGGUGACCGGGCACAUUGGCACUCGGAUACGGCCCGGAGUCCUACGGGAGGCAGGAGUGGGGAAUAUUGCACGAUGGGCGGAAGCCUGAUGCAGCAACGCUGCGUGAGGGAUGACGGCCUUCUGGUUGUAAACCGCUUUCGCCUGUGACGAAGCGUGAGUGACGGUAAUGGGUAAAGAAGCACCGGCUAACUCCGUG
rnacentral:rRNA from 1 species